AGUGAACGCUGGCGGUAGGCCUAACACAUGCAAGUCGAACGGCAGCACAGUAAGAGCUUGCUCUUACGGGUGGCGAGUGGCGGACGGGUGAGGAAUACAUCGGAAUCUACUUUUUCGUGGGGGAUAACUUAGGGAAACUUACGCUAAUACCGCAUACGACCUACGGGUGAAAGCAGGGGAUCUUCGGACCUUGCGCGAUUGAAUGAGCCGAUGUCGGAUUAGCUAGUUGGCGGGGUAAAGGCCCACCAAGGCGACGAUCCGUAGCUGGUCUGAGAGGAUGAUCAGCAACACUGGAACUGAGACAAGGUCCAGACUCCUACGGGAGGCAGCAGUGGGGAAUAUUGGACAAUGGGCGCAAGCCUGAUCCAGCCAUACCGCGUGGGUGAAGAAGGCCUUCGGGUUGUAAAGCCCUUUUGUUGGGAAAGAAAAGCAGAAGGUUAAUACCCCGCUGUUCUGACGGUACCCAAAGAAUAAGCACCGGCUAAAUUCGUG
rnacentral:rRNA from 1 species